GCGUUGUCCGGAUUUAUUGGGCGUAAAGAGCUCGUAGGCGGCUCAGUAAGUCGGGUGUGAAAACUCUAGGCUCAACCUGGAGACGCCACCCGAUACUGCUGUGGCUAGAAUCUGGUAGGGGACCACGGAAUUCCUGGUGUAGCGGUGAAAUGCGCAGAUAUCAGGAGGAACACCAGCGGCGAAGGCGGUGGUCUGGGCCAGUAUUGACGCUGAGGAGCGAAAGCGU
rnacentral:rRNA from 1 species